rnacentral:lncRNA from 1 species
UUUUUUUUUUUUUGGGGUAUAAAUAUUGGUCAACCAAUAGUUUACUGUAUUCCAGACAUUUUCAACAUUGGCUUUUAUUUACUAACCAAACUAAUUAAAAAUAGACCAUUUUACUCAAGAAAAGACUUAUGUCCCUUUCUCUGUCUUCUGUCUAUUUAUAGUACUAGGGGUUCUUGACUUCUUUCUUAACAAAAAAUCAAAAGCAUUAUUAUAUGACCAUUUUCUCAUUAUUUUUACGAUCAAAAUUUUAGCUUAAAUAAUAAAUAAGAUUUGUUACAGUCUAGUAGCAUGCUGGACAGUCAGCUCCAUUCACUGGACAUGUUAUCAAAUACAUCAGAAAGUGAAAUGCCAAGACUGAGUAGUGAAGAUUUUGGAAGCAAAUCUGGUAAUGAAGGCAAUUCUGCUGGUGAUGAACAAGAUGUCAAUAAUAAGAGCCUCAAUAAGCGAAAGCGUUAUCACCGCCAUACUCAGCAUCAGAUCCAAGAAUUGGAAGCGUAAGCCUGAAUCCAUGAAAAUUAACAACAAAAAUAAAAUAAAAAACUUAACUUAUAUCCACUGAUAGUAUAAUAAAAUAUAACUAAAAGCAAAAUCGUGACUUUAUGGAAUUUCUGGUUUGACAAAAUCCACGGAUAAUGUUUUAAUAUUUAUGCGAUUUUAUUUGGGUUUUUUUUAUGGUGUUCAGAUAUUUUAAGGAAUGCCCUCACCCAGAUGACAAGCAAAGGAAAGAGCUAAGCCGAGAAUUAGGGUUAGAGCCUUUGCAAAUCAAAUUUUGGUUCCAAAAUAAGCGUACUCAGAUGAAGGUAUAAUAUAUUGCACUUAAUUCAUUGACUCCACAAAAUAUUUGUUUUAUUUUAAUAACUCCACAAGGAAAAGCAAAUAAAGAAAGCAUGAGAGACAUGUUAAACAAAUGAUAUUUAUUUUGCAAAAAAAACCAAAUCAAAUGUAAACAGUUCAUCUUACUCAGCUCUUAUAUAAAAGGAAGUCGGCAUUUUCCUUGUUAUACUAUGAAUUUUGACAUGUAGUUUCAAAUGCUCAAUAUAUUCUAUUCUAUUUUAUGUGAUACUUUUUCUUAUAGUCUAUUUUUAAAAACGCACAUGUUUAUAAUUGAAAUAUUUUAACUUAUUUUAAGAGGCCAAAUUUUAAAUAUUUUAGCGUUGAACUUCACAUUUUACUCUUAGUACAUGAUUUUAUAGCUACAAAAAUUAUCACAAGAUGGUUAAAAUCACAAACUAAGUUUUUAAAGUUCUCUUUUCUUUUUAACACUUUGUACCUGAUUGAACACCAUUACAUCAAGUGAAAUGGGAGUAUUAAUUAUAGAAAAUGUGUCAAACAUGUCUAAGGGAGUCAUUUUCUUGCCUUUGCUAUUUAACUUAAGAAUGUAUCCAAAGUCAUGUCUUUACACUAAUUUUAAUUCUUCUUUGAAAUCUUAAUGUGAUGUAGUUAGCAAACAUAUUCACACAUAGCAUUAGUUAGCAAAUUGGAGUCCUUAAUUUUUAACUUUUAUUUCAUGUGGAUGCAAAUUCUUCCUUGACAGACUAAAAAUGAGCGCGGUGAAAACUCACACCUUCGAGCAGAAAAUGAAAAGCUUAGGGCAGAAAAUCUGCGAUUCAGAGAAGCUCUGGGCAAUGUCUCCUGCCCUAAUUGUGGUGGCCAACAACCCCCUAUUGGCGAAAUGUCAUAUGAUGAACAUCAAUUAAGAUUGGAAAACACUCGACUUAGAGAAGAGGUAACAACUAAACAUAUUUUUUUAAAAGUUUUUACGUUUUGGAUAAAACGCUCCCUACCAAAUACGACUGCAUAUAUAGGGCUCGAGCUCGAGACCUCUGUUAAAAAGUAACCAUAUUGAUUUAAUGUAUAGUCCUAGCUAUUUGCCAAAGAUUUACCUUAUAUGCAUGCACUUGUAUUAUAAAUAAUUUUUUACCAAAUUGGUGCAAUUUAACCUUCUUUAGAAGAAGUUUAUUUUCCUUAAAGUUCAGGUAAUUAUUUCUAUUAGUUAUGUAUACUCAUCUAUGCUUGCCUUUAAGAUGACAUGAUAUUUCAAAUAAAUUUUAAUAUGUCAAUGUGUAAAAUUAAACCCUUUUUCCACAAGUUUUAAUUCUAUUCUAUACACCGACAUUGUAAAUAUAUUUGUAUGCUAUUGGGUCAUCUAAAAAAUAAUCGUAGGUAAUUGUUGUGAAAUUAGUAACUUAAAAAAUAAUGCCUUUAAUCUGCUACAUUAAAGUACAUUGAUAGUCAUGUGAAAAUUCUUUUAUAUUAUCGAUGCAAUCCUUUUGUCACUUGGUGGUCUCUAAUGUAAUUUUACUUUAUUUCCCCUACCAUCCCCACCCUCUUUCUAUAGAUUGAGCGCAUUUCAACUAUUGCAUCAAAAUAUGUGGGGAAGCCAUUUUCAAACCAUAACAAUGGUUACUCUCCUCCGCUUGACCUCGGCGUUCCUGCAUUUUCAACGCCACAAAGUGUCAAUGGAGACGCGUAUGGAGAUGGCGAAGAUGUUAUAAUAAGUUCAAUAAUCGGACCGAGUGACGCUGAGAAGCCAUUUAUCAUAGAACUUGCAGUUGCAGCCAUGGAAGAGUUUAUUCAAAUGGCACAUAUGCAAGAACCACUUUGGUUUCCUAGCAUUGAAAAUGGAACAAGCUUGUUAAAUGAAGAAGAGUAUUUUAGGAUUUUUCCAAGAGGAAUUGGACCUAAGCCUGAUGGAUUUAAGACUGAAGCUUCAAGGGAAACUGCUGUUGUUAUAAUGAAUCAUGUUAACCUUGUGGAAAUUCUCAUGGAUGUGGUACGUUUUUAUUUGGUUUUUGUUUCACGUUUGGAUUUAAGUUAUAUGCACUAACAUUUAAAAUAAUUUUUUAUAUUAUCAAUAUAAUUUAACUGGUUGUAGCACGUUGUCACUUUUUUUCCAGGUUAUCAUAUCAGGAUUGAUAUGAAAAGUUACCUAUGUUGUAGAUCAAUUUUACUUGAUGGCAUAAAAACUUAAAUAUUGUCGGUGCAUAGAACUUAAACUCUUAAUAACAUUUUACCCAAGGAGCUAGAAUUGAGUGUCCAUGAUAUUGAAUUUGCAAAUAAAUAUUAGUGUAAAAGAAUAUGUUAAUUAGCUUUACCCAUAAACUAUAAUUCCUAGUCCUAGGACCUCUUGUAGUGUGCUUAGCUUGUUGCUGUUUUAGAUAACAUACUUUUUUAACUUUAUUCACCAAAAGGUCAACUAAUAAGAUUAUAAUUGGCAAUUUGGAUUCAAAAUAAAUUAGUUAUAACAAGGUCACAAAUAUAAAGAUAUAUUGCUGCUCUAAGUAGUUGUCUUACGAUCACUAAUUAGAAAUAAUGUUUUCGAUAUAGUCUUGUUUUCCAAUAUCCAGGCCCCACUUGUGGGAUUUCACUGGGUUUGUUGUUGUUGUUCUUAUUUUCCAAUAUGUCGAUAUGGGAAUAACGUAUUAAUAAGUCUUAGUUUGUCUUGUGAUUUCCAGAAUCACUGGUCAAGUAUGUUUUCUGGUGUUGUGUCGAGGGCUUCAACUAUUGAUGUACUAUCAACUGGAGUAGCAGGUAAUUUUACUGGAGCAUUGCAAGUGGUAAUAAAUAGCAUUCUCCUUAAUUAAUCAAUUAGUCCAAUUACUAUACCUAUGUGUGUCCCUGAUUGUUGAAAAAAUUCUUUUACUAUAAAAGUUAAACUCUUGUGAAUUUUGCAGAUAUUAGCAGAAUUUCAAGUACCCUCUCCCCAGGUUCCAACUCGAGAAUGCUACUUUGCUAGGUAUUGCAAGCACAGAGUUGACGGUACAUGGGCUGUUGUCGACGUUUCAUUGGACCAUUUACGCGCUAUCCCAUCUGCUAGGUGCCGGAGAAGGCCCUCAGGGUGCCUUAUUCAAGAGAUGCCAAAUGGGUACUCAAAGGUAAAAAUACUUAUCAAGAAUCAUCCAACUACAUUGCGAUACAAAUAGAUUAAACUUAUAUACAGUGACAAUAUAAUUUAACAUAUUGUAACAAGUUACUUGUCUUAUUUUCAAGAUUACUAAGUACAUGUUCUUACUUUUUAAGUGACAUGAUCGUGUAAAAUCUUUUAUCAAUGUAUAGAACUUAAACUUUUCCGUAAUAUGCUAACAAUUCCUAUUAAUUAAUGUGAUUUUUGCACUAGGUCACAUGGGUUGAACAUAUUGAAGUUGACGAUAGUGCAGUCCACAAUAUUUACAAGCCUUUAGUGAGUUCUGGCCUUGCCUUUGGGGCAAAGCGAUGGACUGCAACUCUAGAUAGGCAAUGUGAACGUCUUGCAAGUGCUAUGGCCACAAAUUUUCCAACCAAUGACCUUAGUAACAUGGGUAAAUACAUUAAUAUAACUGUUAGAUGUCACAAGUUAGUAAUAUAUAUUCUCCUCAAUUAGUAUUUCUUAUGCAGUGUUGACAAAUCAAGAUAGCAGAAAGAGUAUGUUGAAGUUAGCAGAGAGAAUGGUGAAUAGCUUUUGUUCUGGAAUGAGUGCCACGGCUGGUAAUCAAUGGUCGACGCUUUCUGGAAGUGGCUCCGAUGAUAAUGUUCGAGUUAUGACUAGGAAAAGUGUAGAUGAUCCUGGGAGACCACCUGGUAUUGUGUUAAGUGCUGCAACUUCAUUUUGGCUGCCGAUUUCUCCUAAAAGAGUAUUCGACUUCCUCCGCGAUGAAAACACUAGGAGCGAGGUAUCACAUCGUCGAAGACUCUUAAAAUCUAGUUUUAUACAAGAGUUUUAACUUAUAUCCACUGACAAUAUAAAAGAUUCAUUGCACUAACUCUAGUUUUAUGCAGUAGUUUAACUUAUAUCCACGACAGUAUAAAAGAUUCAUUACACUGACUCUAGUUUUAUGCAGGAGUUUAACUUAUAUCCAUUGACAGUAUAAAAUUUUCAUAACACUGACACUGUUACUCUCCUCUGGUUAUAGUGGGACAUCCUCUCCAAUGGGGGUGUUGUUCAAGAAAUGGCUCAUAUUGCUAAUGGAAGGGAAACAGGCAAUUGUGUCUCAUUAUUGAGAGUAAAUGUAAGUCAACUAUAAUCUUCACUUUUACUUUCUUACCUCAAUAUUCAUAAAGUUCCAUGGAAUUGUGUAAUCAUCCCAUCUAAAAGUCUAAAUUGCUAGAUGAUACACUUUUAUUUAAUUAAUUAUACAGGACACAUCACAUGUGAAUCUGAUUUUUUUUGUGAGCCAUGCAUGCGAAAACUCUUUUUUGGUAGUGUACUGGAUCUCUGCUUACUCUAUUACCAUGUUGAACUGAUUACCUUCUCUAAAAGUAUAAGUUUUUAGAAAAAUCACAAUUUUGAUUAAUUAAUCAUAUUCUUAACAAGUUUAACUAAAUUAGAGGGAUGAAUUAAGAUACUAAUGACUGUGCUUUGCUUGAGCCGAGGUUCUAUCAGAAACAGUCUUUGUACCUUCGCAAGGUAUGAGUAAGACAACAUACACACUACCCUCCUAAGAUCACACUUGUGGGAUUACACUAGGUUUGUUGUUGUCGUUGUUGAAUUAAGAUACUAAUCCAAUCUUUCAUUUGUAAAUUACAGAGUUCAAACUCAAGCCAAAGCAAUAUGCUAAUAUUGCAAGAAAGCAGCACUGAUCCAACAAACUCCUAUGUUAUCUAUGCACCUGUUGAUAUUGGUGCAAUGAACAUAGUAUUGGGUGGUGGAGAUCCAGAUUUUGUUGCACUUUUACCCUCCGGAUUCGCGAUACUACCAGAUGGCCCUCCAGGAAAUAGUAGAGUUGGUUCUGGUGGAUCUCUACUAACUGUUGCAUUUCAGAUUUUGGUUGAUUCAAUUCCUACUGCAAAGCUUUCACUAGGAUCAGUUGCUACUGUGAACAAUCUCAUUGCUUGCACUGUGGAUAGGAUCAAAGCUGCUCUUUUAUCCGAGAGUACACCUUCUUAAGAUGUAAGUAUUUCUUUGGCUUUUAAAUAUGAGCAUAAAUAUAUAUUUUCUAUGGAACAUAAAUAUAUAUUUGAAUUGAAUGAGGUAUUUAAAAGGAAGAUUUGAAAUGGGAAGAACCUAUUUUAUGGAGGGUCUAUGAGUUUUAAUGAUAAGGGACCGUGUACACUGAUGCUUUGGUCUAGGAGUAAGAGUGCAGCACAUGAUAUACGGCUGAGGUGCAUGUCACGGAUUCGAGCCCUACCACAUUAAGAGGCGAGCCCGUUAUCCUUCUAAUUAGAACCAUGUGCUACUAGCUCUCGGAGAUUUCUCAAUUAUAAAAAGAGGAAGUUGUUCUUGACACUCUUUAUUUCUUAUGCACAGAGAGUAGAAAAGAAUUUCGUCAACUAAAAGAUAUUGCGGUUAAUUGUCCACACUGUUUGAAAUUAGUAAAUUGGGAAAUUAUUCAUGCAACAAGGUACCACAAAUUAAAAUUAUGCCGAUAACUUAAAAAUUUCCUUACGUUAUUAGUGUACAAAAAUUAAAUUAUUAUUUUAAUUUUUUCACUUUUUUGGUUGCAGCUGUGUAUGGACAAGGUGAAAUAGAGAGGACGGCAUGAAAUAAGUUAAGCGGAAGUCAAGAGCGCACCUUCAUCCUUUGGUUGUAUUGUUUGUACAAAUCAACCAAGGCGUCUAAUUUAAAGCUUUUUCUACAAAGUUUAGAUAGGUUAAGUAGAGGUUCGUGAACUGACUUCCAGUGGAAAUUCCAAAGAGAAUUAGAAAAUAUAAAGACUAUAUAGAUUCUAGAAUAUAGAAUAUAUCAGUUGGUCUUUUUUUUUUAUUUCCUUUUUCAAUACAGGUCUUGAUCCUGUGCAAUUAGGGUUCACCUCCUGUGUGUCUAGUGCUUCUAGUCUUUGAACUUGAGAGCAUUUGGCAGACUUUUUUGUCUGCUUUUGCUUGACUAUAUCAAAAUAUAUUAGAAUUGUGGUUUCUCUUGCUUAUUUUUUUGGAACAAGUAGUCGAAUUCACUUCACUGUUUACUUUUUUUUUGCUGGCACAUAGAUUAUACACUAAUUAUCCAUAAUUAUACAAAUAUUGUAUAAUCGUUGUCUAUUUUUUAUUUAAGCGAUUGAGUAGUCAGUUAUUUAGGUUAUUUCUCCUUCUUUUUUCAUUUGCUUGAGAUGAACAUUUCUCAAGUUCUUUUUUUUGAUACCUCAUAGUUAUCAUGGGUACAUGAAUAAUACUCGGCCAAAUACAUAGAGAACCCCUUAAAGUUAAUGUCUUUUCAUUUAGGACAAUUUAGUUGAAGCUAUUACCUAUUAAACUACUACAAUGUUUGUCCAAAUGAUUUUCGCUUGAAGUUAAGCUCAUAAAAUAACGUAUAUAUGUUUUUUUUUGAAAUCUUUCAUGCAUCUUUUUCUCAAAAGUUAAGAGUAAUUUUAAAUCAUAAUCAUAAGUUGAUGAGUAAAUUUGAACCUUUUUUUCCAUAAAAAAUUUAGACAUAUGGAAUCUGCCCAUUUCAUAGAGUUUUAUUUAUAUCAAGAGCAAAAGUAUGAAUGAAUUAAAAAUAUAAUGAGAUCAAAUCGAGCAAUCUCUAAUAUUAUAAAGAUAAAUUGACAUUUCCUACAUAAAUACUAGUACUACUAAUAUUUAUAUUGAAACCGGCGCGAAAAUUCCUCCUAAAUCAUUUCUCAAACUAUUCCAAAAGGGAAAGAAACUGAAAUAAAGUAACUUGAGACAGUAGAGAAGGAAGAUAGUGAGAGAGUCCAUGGGGAAUGCCUGAAGGCGACAACAGACAACCAAAGCCCCUCAGAUGCAACGAAUGGGCGACAACAGACACCCAUUCACCAUUUGAGUUAUUGGGUUCAAAUUUUAAUAUUUUACACGUUUAGUAUUUCUUGCUGCAUAUAUAGGGAUUGAACCAAAGUUAUUGAGUUCGACUGAACUUAUAAGUUAUAUUGUGCAUCUGCCCAGUACAUAUAGUUGGGCUCUAGAAUGUGUCCGGAGAUGUUUGUUUAGGUACUUGUGUGCCAGUAAGUAAUGUAGAGAAUGUUAGUGUUAGAUAACCCUUAGUUUGUCAUAAACUAUUGAGUAUUGGAAUUAAACAGGAGAGAGAUGGAUAUAGAGGAUUUAUAUAGCUUAUGCAUUACCAUGAUGUUGUUAUUGUUGUUGAUGUUGAGGUGUUGUUGUGGUAUCCUCAAUUUAAUGAGGAAUAUUGUAGACUUCAAAAUUUUUGUUCAACUUGAUUUUAGGUUCCAAAACACUUGCGUUAACUUGGGUAUGUGGUAAGGCUAGAGUGUAAAGAGAGAAAGUUGUUAGAUCAAGUUUGUAGUGUCGUGGAGUCAUUGACUCAUUUCUUACCAAUGAAGAUCGACCCAUUAUUUCUUUUACACUUGAAAUGCAAAGAUCUUAAUUAGGUUAAGUGUGCCAUUAGAUGAUUAAGCAUAUUAUCUGUUUGGACAGUCAGUGGUUCUUUCAAUUUACUCUGUAUGUGACGUGUGACUGGGGAGGUAGUUAAACAACAUGUUUUGUUUGAAAGGGGAAAAAAGCCUAGCACUUUGCAUUCUGUUAAAGAAGCUUCUUGUGUCAAAGAUAAAAAUGUUUGAAGAUGUAAGAUCAAUAAUAUAGACUAGUUUUUCCUUUAUUAAUUGUUUCCUUUUCACAAAAAAAAAAAAAAAAAAAAAAAGAACCUGUCCGACUGACCGGAUGUUUGUUAGCUAACCAAAAUACAUUAUUCACUGAGUUUUCGAAGUUGAAGAAAACUGAUUUCUCAGUUAUUUAAGAAAAAGGUUUACUAGCUAACUGAAAGGCUCAAAACUCAUUAUCAAAGUCAUUUUAUGAUCUUUCUAGACCAAGUUGGUAAAGUUAUUUUGUACUAAAAGUUGUUUAUGCCUUUUAAAUUUUGAGAUAUUGUACUAAAAGGGUGAUUAUUCUCUAAAACAUGGUCUCUAAAGCAGAGAUUUGAAUUCACUAUCUGUAUGGGUAAAAAAUUAUCUCUAAUAUGAUUAAGUCAUGUUAGCAUUAAUGAGACAUUCACAGGUCGUCGUGUGUUGCCAAUGCGACUCGUAAAGACUUGCCCAAAGUCGAAGUGGUUCUAGAAAUAAUGAAGGUUGCGGUCGAAGACUCAACAAGGAUUAAGGUCGAGGAGUCGUCAAAGAUCAAGAUCGAGGUCGAACAUCCUUGACAGAGUUAUAACGACUACUUUUAAGAUAGGAAACUAAAGAGAAUAUUCUAGUAGAUAUUCUCUGCACCUAUACUAUUAGGGUUAGGAAUAUGUUCCCUAUAAAUAGAAAGAGACACAAUGAUAGGGGACAUGAUAUAUUCAUUUGUAAAAAAAUACAUUGACGUUAUAGAGAGAAUCUGGUCCUAUUACAAGCAUACAAAAACAACCUUUUUACUAAGAUUCUUGUCUAGCAUUUCCUUUGGAUCCAAAACAACCUAAGUGUUCAAAGGCUUAUCAAUCAUUCAUCAUUAUCAGAGAGAAUAUCCACUGAUCUCAUCCCUUUUCGGGUGACUCACACAUUUUAUUUACUUAAAUAACACUUAUUGCUAUUUAUUACUAUUUAAUGUCAUAUUUCAUCUUUUUGGAUCAUUGAAUACUGUUAUUAUUGCUUAUAUUCAUUGCUAUCCAGACAAAUGUCCAAGUUAUUUGUCAUAACACCGAUAGCUUUGUCAUUAGCAUAUUAUUAUUAACUAAGAUUAGGUCUUCUUUAUUUAAAUCUAAUUGGUUGGACCAAAAUCUAUAUUUUUGGUCAAAUAGUUUGGCACCGUCUGUGGGGACUUCUUAGUUAAUUCUUUUGGUUUCCUUUAGAUAUAUAGCUAACGUGAGUCACUAACCUCACAAACCCCAAGAUCUUUCUCUUUCUUUGCACGUACGAAAACCUACAUGGCAGGUAACCAAGGAGAGAGGACUAAAAUAACAAGUUAUUUCCCUAGCAACCUUAUGAACGCUAUCAACGAGAGCUGUGAAAUAUUAGGCGAGGACGUGACGCCCACUGCGUCCCAAAGGAGCGAGAGGUCGCCUCCUCCCAUUGUAGCAUAAUAAAACCAAAUGGAAAAGGGGCCUCCACGUCCAUAGAAGAAGGGAUGCCACGGGCCGUAAAAAGCUCCUCGAAGUAUGGUUGACCGAUACGCUAGUGAGCAUUCUCAACAAGCCCACUCCAUGCAGGACCACAGAGACUGCAAGAACCUACAUAGUGCAACGAGCAGACGAACAUGGCGACCAACCGGACCCUCUAACACCAGGUAUAACUCACAAUGUUACUAACAAUACAGGUGACAUCGCCAUCGCCGAUGUUCUAAGGAGGAUGUAAGAAAUGGAGAAUGAAAAUAAUGCACUCAGAGAUCGAAUAAAAGAACACUAAGAACGAGUCGAUAAGAUACCGGGUGCCCCUAAGCUAUUGCCAAAGAAAGACGCCGGUAGGUUCGUAGAGUAGCCGUACAACGAAGAAGCAGCCCUUCAUGCCAUACCAAAGACCUUCAAAAUGCAGUCAUAUCUCAGGAUAUACGAUGGAACGAAUGAUCUCGAAGAUCAUGUGACUCAUUAUGUCACCGCCGUGAAAGGAAACAACCUUACCAAGUAACAAGUGUCUUCUAUUUUGCUGAAGAAAAUUGGAGAAACUCUUACGGGAGGGGUAUUAAUAUGGUACUCACAGCUACCAGCCCACUCCAUAGAAACCUUCAAGGAAAUGGCCGAUAAGUUCGUAAUGGCGCAUGCCGGAGCCAGGAAAGUCGAAACAAGAGUAAACGAAUAUUCGCCAUCAAGCAGUCCUUGGGAGAGGGACUGAGGGACUUUCUCGCCCGAUUCAACAGGGUAAGGAUGACCCUAUCAAACGUGUCCCGAGGGGAUGGCGGUCGCGACUUUUCAGAACGGGUUGAGUAGAGAUGGUUUGAGAGUGACUAGAAAACUGCUGAGCCGAUUGAUAAAAUAUCCUCCAACCACUUGGGACGAGAUCCAUAAUGCUUACUAUGCCGAAGUCCGAGCAGAUGAGGACGACCUCAACGGACCAACUCAUCAGCUCAUCUCUGUACAAACCGAGUCCAGGCAAGAACGAAGAGACAACAUUAGGAGGGAUCACCCUGUCUCACGACCCAACAUGGAAUGACACCAACCAUACGACAGGGCCUCCGCCCCACCUUCUCUUUGCUAUGAGGAGGGCCAUCUAGGCCAAGAACGGGGACUCACCGGAACGAGAGAGGUAUGCCCCUUUAUUAUCUGCUCAUAAUUUUUGUGUAUCACUUACAGAAAUAGUCUAUACCCUGGAGAAACUCGGAACGAAGGUGAAGUGGCCGCCAAAGAUGAGGUCCUAUCCGAGCACCAGAAAAUCCGACACUCUCUGUGAGUUCCACCAAAAGCGCGGGCACAAAAUAGAAGAUUGCAUCUCCCUCAGGCAAGAAGUUGUAAACAUGUUGCGGCAGGGACACCUCAAAAAGUUGUUGAGCGACAAGGGGAGAAAUAACUUCGCCAGAGGACGUGAACACCAAGGCCUGCCAAAGCUGCCAUCACCAGCUCGUACUAUAAAUAUGAUCAUUGGCGGCAACGACGAUGCCUCCAUCAACGGUGUUAAAUUCACCACCACUCACAAACUCAAACGAUCUAUCACCAGUUAACUGUAUGACGGACUCAAAAAAAGUAUCAUCUUUGAUGAGUCAAAUGCCGACAGUUUGACUUUCCCUUAUAAUGAUGCUCUCGUCAUUACUUUGUACAUUUUAGAUAUUGAUGUCAAACGUAUCAUGGUAGACGAUGGAAGUCGAGCGUACAUUAUCCAUCCCCGAAUCCUCGCCCAAAUGAGACUCGAGGACAAGAUAGUGCCAUGCUGCAUCACACUAACCGGUUUUAAUAAUGCAGUUGAACGGACAUCGGGGGAAAUUACACUCCCUGUCUUGGCUGGCGGCGUAACACUAGAGACAAUAUUUCACAUCAUGGACCAGGCCACCGCGUACAAUGCCAUAGUAGACGACCAUGGAUACAUCCUAUGAGAGCCAUCCCUUCCAACCCAUAGCAAGUAAUCAAAUUCCCAACACCUUGGGGGAUAUUCAGCAUACAGGGAGAGCAGCACGCAUCCCGGGAGUGCUACCGCAUCGCCUUAGAUGACACCAGAAACCAACAGAAAAAAGAUAAGGAAAAUAAGGCAUAGCAAUCAACAGGGUCGAGGUCGACACAAGAAGAGACCAGGGACGUCAUCAUGGAUCUCGAAAUGGUCGAAGUCGCGGACUCGACUGUAGAGGACCUCUACCCCGUUCAAUUAGACCCUAUCGACUACAGCAAAAAGGCCUACAUCGGCUAUAAACUCUGAGAACCCGGUAAAUUUAGCCAAUUCUUAAUAACAAUUGCAGAUUUGUUUGCCUUCAGCCAUGCAGAUAUGUCAGGCAUCCCCAAGGAGGUUGCCACACACAAAUUAAACGUCGACCCGUUCUACCCCUCGGUAAAGCAGGUCAGACGUAAAUUCAAUCCCACCAUUAAUGAUGUCGUCCAUGAGAAGGUGGAGAAACUAUUAGAAAAUAGCUCUAUCAGGAAGUCAAAGUACCCCAAAUGGAUCGCCAACGUAGUGAUGGUCAAAAAGAAAAAUAGAAAAUGGCGGAUGUGCGUAGAUUUCAUGGACUUGAACAAAGCAUGCCCGAAGGAUUCGUUCCCGUUACCACAUAUCGACCAACUCAUCGGCGCAACGGCCGGGCACGAGUUGUUGAGUUUUUUGGACGCGUACUCAGGCUAUAGCUAGAUACUUAUGGAAGAAGAGGACCAAGAGAAAACCACGUUCAUCACCCACCGAGGAACAUAUUAUUAUAGGGUCAUCCCAUUUAGGCUGAAGGACGCAGGGGCUACAUAUCAAAGAUUGGUCACGAAAAUGUUUAAAGAUUAGCUCGGCAAGACCAUGAAAGUAUAUAUAGACGACAUGCUGGUCAAAUCCUUAAAGGCUGAGGACUAUAUCAACCAUUUGAAGGAAGUUUUCGAUAUACUAAGACGGUAUGUAAUGAAACCAAACCCAGAGAAAUACGCAUUUGGCGUAGCCUCUAGGAAGUUCUUGGGCUUCUUAGUGUCACAACGGGGGAUCGAGGUUAACCCCGACCAAGUUGACUGGGUGAAUCACCGCCUUAUCGAGAUUCAGCUCACGGUCAUCUAACAGAUGUCACCUAUUUUUCGGCGUACUAAAAAAGGACAACGACCUCGAGUGGACACCUGAGUGUAUACAAGCUCUACGAUAACUAAAGGCGUAUCUUUCAUCACCGCCUCUGCUCUCACAGCCCGAACCCGAGGAACAUCUCCUCGUCUACCUAGCCAUCUCCGAAGUAGCAGUAAGUGCAGUCCUGAUUCGAGAAACAAAAGGUAAGCAGUCUCACAUUUAUUAUAUCAGCAAAACACUCGUCGACACCGAGACGAGGUACCCGCACCUCGAGAAACUGGCCCUGGCACUAAUCGUAGCUUCACGAAAGCUUAGACCCUAUUUCCAAUGUCACCCUAUCUCGGUUGUUACCAUCUUUACCCUAAGAGAAAUUUUACAUAAACCCGAGCUGUCGGGAAGUUUGGCCAAGUGGGCCAACGAACUAAGCGAGCACGGUAUCAUGUAUCAACCACGGACGACGAUAAAGUCGCAAGUGCUCGCCGACUUCGUCACAAAAUGCAGUGCAAAAAUAAUUCCUGAAGUCGAGAAGGAAGUCUUCCAAGCUUCUCUCCAAACACAAGAACCCUGGGUCCUAUACACCCACGGCGUAUCCAACGCCUCCAGAUCCAGACUGGGACUCGUACUAGAGAUCUCUACCGGUAAAGUAAUUUUCUAGUCCAUAAAAUGCCCAGAUAUGACUAACAACGAGGCCGAGUAUGAGGCCAUAAUUACAGGAUUGAGGCUAGCACUCAAGUACGGGGCAAAGCGGUUGAAACUCCGAUGUGAUUCCCAAAUCAUAGUCAACCAAGUCAUAGGGACUUUCCAAAUUAAAGAACAAAGGUUGCAAAAAUAUUAGACGAAGAUCUGUAAGCUGCUGCCCGAGUUUGACGAAUGCCAGCUCGACCAUAUCAUGCUUGCGCAGAAUGCUGAAGCAGACGACCUCACCAAAUUGGUUGCGGCUACCAAAAGUAUCACGACCGGGGAUAAAAGUGUAGUCCACCUCCUCUAUUCAUCGCUAGACCAAGUCGAGGUAAGAUCUGUAAGCUUAACCUGGGAUUGGCAUAAUCGUAUUAUCGCCUAUUUCCAUCAUGGCGCACUCUUAAACGACAAAAAAGAAGCCAAGAAACUAAGAAUGCAAGCAGCCAGAUACAAUCUCCUCCAUAGUGACCUGUACAGGAGGACAUAUGGUAGCCCUCUGGUGAAAUGUUUGGGCCCAAACCAAACCCAGCGUGUCCUCGAAAAAGUCUAUGAAGGCCAUUGCGGUGCUCACUCCGGCAAUCGAGCACUCGUCAGGUGCCUCAUACGGGCAGGAUACUAUUGGCCCACCAUGAAAAAGAAAUGCGAACAAUGUCAGAAAUACGCCCCGGUAAUUCACCAAUUAGGAGAACACCUCCAAUCAGUCACCUCUCCAUGGCCGUUCAUCAAGUAGGGAAUGGACAUCGUGGUCCCCCUCCCAACAGGGCGAGGUAAUGUACGAUUCCUUUUGGUUUUAACUGACUAUUUCUCUAAAUAGUUGGAAGCAGGAGCGUUCGUCCAAAUAUGCGAACAAUAGGUAAUCACCUUUAUAUGGAGAAAUAUCAUCUGCCGAUUUGGCCUACCCAAGGAGAUCAGUUGCGACAACAGACCCCAGUUCACAGGAAAGAAAACCAUCGAAUUCUUCGAGAAAUGUCAUAUUAAGAGGAUACUUUCAACCCCGUAUCACCCGGCGGGUAACUGACAGGCAGAAUACUCUAACAAGUCCAUAUUAAACAUCAUGAAGAAAAGCUCGAAGACGCCAAGGGACUGUGGCCGAAGAUACUCCCAGAAGUAUUAUGGGCAUAUAGAACUACCCCGAAGACGAGCACAUGAGAGAAACCCUACUCUUUGGUCUAUUUAAGGAUGGUCUCCCAAAAGCAACAAAUAGAACAUUAUUACAACAAGAAAGCAAAGGUUCGACCGCUUAAAUUCGGGGACUACGUACUCAAAGCCAAAACUCAAGCGAGCAAAGAACCACAUGAAGGCAAGUUGGGAACAAACUGGGACGGCCCGUACAAAAUUACAGCCAAAGCAAACAAGGGUUCAUUCUAAUUAGAGACAAUGGAAGGAAAGCAAUUACCGAACAAUUAGAACAUCAGCCACCUCAAAUAUUUCAACUUCUAAAAGGAAGAAGUGUCCCCAAGUCGUACAAUUCUUUCAUCACUUGAGUUUUGUCCCAUUAGGGUUUUCUCAAGGAGGUUUUUAACGAGGCGACAAGGGGAAACUUCGAUUCGAAGUAUGCGAUGGAGGGACUAUUUUUCUAUUUCAUUGCCCGACUCCUCAAUACUCUCCAAGUCAAGCAAUGAAGGGACUAGAUAAACUGGGACUGGAACGUCAGCCAAUGCCCAAAAUUUGUAACUUUCUCUAAUCAUAUAAUCAGAGCAACAACGUCAAAAUAAUAAGAAACUUACGUUUAUCAUAAACACCUAUCAUCCCUCGGCCGUAACUAACAAAAGGUUAAGUUCGACCCCACUCGAACAACACAUAUCGGCCCUCGGUCGCGAUUAACAAAAGGUUACGUUCGACCCCACUCAAACAACACCUAUCAGCCCUCGGUCGUAACUAACAAAAGGUUAAGUUCGACCAUGCUCGAACAACACUUAUCGGCCCUCGGCCGCGAUUAACAAAAGGUUAUGUUCGACCCCACUCGAACAACACCUAUCGGUCCUCGGUCGUGAUUAACAAAAGGUUAAGUUUGACCCAACUCAAACAACAUCAAUUGGCCCUCGGUCGCAAUUUAAAGAGGUUAUAAUUCGACCAAGGUCGAAUGACACCUAUCGGCCUGCGACCACACCCUAACAAAAGGUUAAGUUCAACCCAACUCAAACAACACUAAUCGGCCCUCAGCCGCAAUUUAAAGAGGUUAUAAUUCGACCAAGUUCGAAUGACACCUAUAGGCUCUCAGCCAUGAUUUAAGGAGGUUAAAAUUCGUCCAAGUUCGAAUAACACCUAUUGUCCCCCGGCCACGUUUCAAUAGAAGGUUAAACGCAACUAAAUAAGAAGCUAAGUUCGAUCAAGUUCAAACCUAACCGAUCGGUCCGUAGACAUGCUCCACCUAUACGGGCAAAGGGGUAAUUUGGCCCACAGCUAUUCGACCCAAGGACUCUGAUAUUUACAAGAACGAUGACAAACAAAGUACAGAAACAAACCAGGGCAAAUAAGAAAGAUACAAAUAAAAGCAAAACCCAACUUUGAUAUUUAUAAACAAAGGUUUCUUACAAAGGCUCUUGAAGACGCCAACAAAAAUACACAAAAAUGAUAGAGAAAAAAGAACUACUGCUGGCCAUCGCAAUCACGACCCACGACAUCCUCACCGGAUCAAUCUUUAAUUCCCUCUCCCUCCUCGCCUGAAGGGUAUAUAGAAUCAUACCGGGCCUCAUCCUCAAGGUGAUCUACAACAUCCUCACCGUCCUCAUCUUCUUCACCAGGACGAGGCGUAGUUGGGUCGUAGCCACAAGCAACCCGAGACUCGCGAGCCUUGACUCGAGCAUCUUCAAAGUCCGCGGCAGGAACAAAACCCGCUACAUGCAACUCACGAAGCACAUCCAAUCGGGCCUCGGUGUGAAUCCACUCUUCAUACAACUCACAAGGAACAUUGGGAAAGCCAGAAGUCAUAGAUGAAGAAGGUUGUACAAGUAGUUUGGCCUUCUCGGCCUCUAGAGCGGCAACUUGAUCAUAAAGAUCGAAGGUCUCUUUCUCCAACUCCCUAAUCCUUUUCAUAAAGCCGUUCUUAUAUAAGACUCGCCGUCGACAAGUCAUUUUCUUGAUCAGAAUGGAGGGUUCGAUUUGCCACUUCAAGGAACUCCACCCUCCUAAGAGCCUCCGACUGAGCAGACUCUGCCUUAUUAAGCUCCUUGGUUUCUCGGCGACCUCGCCACUAAGGGCAUCCUCCUUAAACUGGCACUCUUCGAGUUAGCCUCGCAGCAGGACCACUUGGGCUUGGAGAUCACUGCAUUGGGCCUCUACGCCCCUACUAAGCUCAAGCUCCUCCUCUUUUCUCUUCAAUAUCCCUUCAAAGAUGUUGCAUUUCUCUACGACCCGCAUCAUCUCCUCGUCCCUCUUCUUCAAGUCCUCCCUCAGGAUCCGUACGUCAUCGCCUUCGCGAAGCCGACACUAGAGCUCCUGGUACUUCUCAAGGCACCUUGUAUACUUGUCCUUUAGCUUCACGUAAAUGUCUUUACGCCUCUUCUCCCGAUGAGCACUCUCAAUCUCUAGAAUAACCGUCUACAAAACAAAAAAAGGAAUUAGAGCUUACGAAAGAAAUUGAAGCAUAAGGAAAAGAACAUAUGACAGUCAUAUUUACCCGGCGAGCAAGAGCAGCAAUGUUAUUCGACAGAGUACUGUCAUUUAUCAUCUCGAGGGUCGUACCCUCAAUCUUAGAACAAAGAGGACCGAGGUCAAAGACUAUUUCCUCGGUGUAUACAAGAAGAUUACAAUCCAUUGGGAUCACAAUAGUCCUGGAGCCUCCUUCCAACCUUACUUCAAGUUGAGUGAGUCUUUCAUCGAUCAUUCUCAACUCGUCCAGGUCCAUAUAAAAUUCAGAUCCAACGUCCUCCUCAGUAAUAGCCUUCUCUCUAUCAUUAGCCACAGAGGGUACAUCCACUGGGAACCUAGAAGAUGAAGCCUCAUCUUGCCUCGGAAGUGCGAGGCCGUCAUUAUGCAUCCCGCCAUCCACCGUCUCCACCACAGGACACAUUGAUGCACUCGUGUUCAUCUCCUCCAAGUGCGGGACCUCAGAACCUGCCUCGGGGCUCACUCCAACAUACACUAUGGCCAUCUCUCGAAGAACAAAGUCAUAUUCUUCCAAGUCGACGUCUACUGGCUUUUCUCCUCCCGCAUCCACGGCUCUCCUCUUAUGAGGUAUUAGGAUACCUUUAUCAGUAGAGUUAUCAUCGUCAUCAUCAAUCAGUGAAAGGCGUUGAGGAGAAGAAGCAGAGGAUGAAAAGAAGGCAUGGUCUUGGAUUGAGGCAGCCGAAGAUGAGGUCGGCACAGAAGCGACAAUAAUCACAAUAAGGACAGAAAUCGAAGGGGCAUCAGCCUUCCUCCGAAAGGAUGGCACUGAUACCCGUCUUCUUCUAGAAGACCCUCUGCCUGAGAAAGAAAUAAACGUUGAAGUCAGCAAAACGAGUCAGCAUAUAAUGAAAAAUGGAACGACCACAGGCCAAUAAGGAAAGUUAUAUGUCGAAGGGAGAGCCGGUCUGAACUUAUUGAUAAAGCUCGGCCAGUCGACAUAGUAGAGGAUUUGCUCGACCUAGUCAGAAAUGUGUGUGACUAGAAGGGGAUGCUGAGUGUUGGCUACAAAGAAAGAAAAUGUCCUUCAAUAAUCUCCAAGUAAGUAAAAGAACGCGAACAAAAAAAAGAGAACAUUGAGCCAGAAUUGACGACUGGUUUUAUCGUCCGUCUUCACCACCAAACACUUGCCUCCACGAUGGAAAAGAUUCAGCAUCGCCCCCUAUAAAAGCUAGGGGUGAAGAGAUGAACCAAAUGCUACAACGUCAGCUCGACCCCGGCCAGCUCGACAAAUUUUGUCAACAUCCUAAUAAUUUUGUAGACAUACGACGCAAGAUGAGCAGGGCAGACACCGUAGUGAUAACAGAAUUCCUCCACCAACGGAAGGAGGGGGAACGAAUAACCGAUGAUGAAAGGAUAAGCGUAUAAAGUGCAGUAUCCGGGUAACUGAACCUACACCACGUUCCCACUAGCCGGGAUCAGUUCGACAUGGUUUGGAAGGCCGAAUUUGGCCUUGAGUUCCGCCGAUUCCUUAGGCGUCAUCGUUGAUUUAAAACCUCCAGGCGCAGUGUCAGGUAAUUUGGUGAGCUCAAACCUAGAGUCAAGAUUGUGGGAGAUUUUUUCCUCCACUGACAGGAAUGCUUCAUCAUCAACAAUGGUGGAAGCACCCUCCUCAUGAUGGGGAAACACAACUGCCAAAGGAGGAAUACGACUCCCUUCACCAUCAUUUGAUGGUAAGUUAGACAUAGGGCAAAAUAGUAAAGAAGAAUAACGAGAGGGAAAGAAUGGAGAUGGAAUAAGGCAGCAGAGUGAAGAGGGAAGUUUAGAGAAGAAAAUGGCAAGAAGGAUAAAGCUUUGGAAAGUUAGGAGAAGCAAACUUCAAAUUCAAGUCCAAAAACCUCAAUUUAUAGAGAUCAUGGCACUGAACCCAAAAAUGGCUCGUCAUCAUUGGCACCAGAAUUGAAACGGCAUAUCCAAUCAAGGGUCACAUAUGAAUCGAGGUGACACAUCAAAAAUAUACGUCAUAAUUGCCAUGACGUCAUUAUGCUCCUUGGACAGGGUAACUCCAACAAAUCGCCCGAGAAACAAGAAGUAUUUGAAUUUUACGGCCCACAAAGGGCCAUGUGUUCUGCUCGGAACGGCGAUUAUGACUCUUAUAACUAACUCGAUAAGCUCAACUAGAAAUGACAAUUAUCCGCUCAUUAAGUUCACCUGCGAGGAUGACCUCAAUAAGCGGACGAACUAACUGUAUGGGUCAAAAAUUAUCUCUAAUAUGAUUAAGUCAUGUUAGCAUUAGUGAGGCAUUCACAGGCUGCUAUGUGUCACCAAUGAGACUCUAGUAGAGACCUGCCCAAGGUCAAAGUGGUUCUAGAAAUAAUGAAGGUUGCGGUCGAAUAGUCAGCAAGGAUUAAGGUUGAGGAGUCGUCAAAGAUCAAGAUCGAGGUCGAACAUCCUUGACAGAGUUAUAACGGCUAUUUUUAAGAUAGGACACUAAAGAGAAUAUUCUAGUGUAUAUUCUCUGCACCUAUACUAUUAGGAUUUCUAGGAACAUGUUCCCUAUAAAUAGAAAGAGAGACAAUAAUAGGGGACAUGAGAUAUUCAUUUGUAAAAAAUACAUUGACUUCAUAGAGAGAAUCUUAUCCUAUUGCAAGCAUACAAAAAUAACUUUUUUAUUAAGAUUCUUGUCUAGCAUUUCCUCUGGAUCCAAAACAACCUAAGUGUUCAAAGGCUUAUCAAUCAUUCAUCGUUAUCAGAGAGAAUAUCUACUAAUCUCAUCCCUUUUCGGGUGACUCACACAUUUUAUUUACUUAAAUAACACUUAUUGAUAUUUAUUACUAUUUAAUGCCAUAUACUAUCUUUUGGAUUAUUGAAUACUGUUAUUAUUGCUUAUAUUCAUUGCCAUCCGGACAAAUGUCCAAGUUAUUUGUCACAACACUGAUAGCUUUGUCUUUAGGAUAUUAUUAUUAACUAAGAUUAGCUCUUCUUUAUUUAAAUCUAAUUGGUUGGACCAAGAUCUAUAUUUUUGGUCAAACACUAUCCUGGUCAUCCUUUCUAUUCCUUUGUUACAUUAUGUUGUCUCAUUCUUCAGAGUCCAAUUCAUAAGUCUUUUUGAUACAUGGGUUUGUCCCUGGAGCCGAUGCAUCAUUAUCUCACAUGUGCAUCAUAUGCAUGUUAUGCUUGUUCAUCUUCUAUUUUCAAAAGGCUGAGUAUGUUAAUUUGCUAGUACUCUGCAGGCCUGUUUUGAAGGCAAUCCAUUUAAAAGAAUUCCAGGGCCUUUCAAGCUAUUCAGGCAGUGGCGAAGCUACAGCCUAUCAAGGGUGGUCAACUGAUCAUCCUUCGUCGAAAAAUUAUAUUGAUCCAUGCAUGAGCUGUGAGCUAAUUACAGUGUUUUAUCGUUUCACAAAAAAUGAAGCUAAACAGUAAGCUUGCCGCCUCGCCCCUCCACCCACCCUUUCUCCAAAAGAGAAAAAGAAAAAGAAAAGAUGCAUUUGAAUGAAGUGCCUAAUUUAGCUCUAGGUCAAUAAGUUAUAUUCAAUCCAUUGAAAUAUCUUUAUUCUUUUCAAUUGACAUAUUUUAUGUUUCUAUAUUAUCUAAUUUUAUGGAUGACAUGUUUCAUAUGCUUAAUCAAUGCGCAGGGAAGAACCUACUGAGCCAUUCUAUUACUUGCAGUUGGUUCCCCCCAAGAGAGAACUUCAACUUUAAAGAGCAUUGCUCUCUUGUUAGUUAUGUUCAACAUUUCAAAUACUGGGUUAGUUUUUCUAUUCAAGAUACUGAGUAUGAUCGCAGAUUCUUGAUGAUAAUAUGUUUUCUUAAAGAUAUAAAGCUCUUCAAAAUUUCAAGAAACUUUUCCAUAUGGAAGUUUGUUUCCUUUUUGUCAAUGUUCUUUCGUUGCUUUCCUGGGAGGACUUGCCUUGUUGAGAAAGAGUUUUGAUACGGUGCAGUCUUUCAUCCCUCUUUGAAAAACCUCAGUCCUAGUUAAAUUCACCUCUUAAUUUUUGAGCAGUUUUGAUAGUUUUCGGAGCCAGAUCCAGGAUUUGAACUUUUUGUGUUUAGAUUAAAAAUUUUACCAUAUUUUAUUUAAUUUAAUGGGUUCAAAAUCUAUUAUUUAUACAUAUUUAAUGAGUUUUCUGACAGAUAUACAAAGUCUGAGUCGAAACUAUAGAUUCAGGUGAACCCAUAAUUUCUAUUCUGGAUAUGCCCCUAAUAGUUGCUACUUCAAUGAUUGAUCUUGUAGUUGCUGAUUAACUAACUUUAUUUUUUUCUAACAAUUCGGGUUUAUGCCGAAGCGCUUGACUACGAAAGCCAUUCACCUUGUUAGGAGAUUGAUUGAGCAGUAUAGGGAGAGGAAGAGGGACUUGCAUAUGGUUUUCAUCAACUUAGAAAAGGUCUAUGAUAAAGCCUCGAGGGAGGUCCUGUGGAGAUGUAUGGAGGCUAGAGGUAUACUUUUUGCUUGCAUUAGGGCGAGUAAGAACAUGUAUGAAGGAGCUAAGACCAGGGUGAGAAUAGUAGGAGGGGGCUCAGAUCAUUUUCCGGUCAUGAUGGGGUUGCACCAAGGGUCAGCUCUUAGCCCUUUUUUAUUUGCCCUGGCGAUGGACGUAUUGACGCGUCACAUCCAAGGAGAGGUGCCAUGGUGCAUAUUAUUUGCAGAUGAUAUUGUAUUGAUUGAUGAGACGCGAGGCGACGUUAAUGCGAGGUUAGAUAUGUGGAGGCAGACCCUGGAGUCUAAAGGUUUCAAGUUGAGUAGGACUAAGUCGGAAUACCUAGAGUGUAAGUUCAGUGGGAUGACUCAGGAAGUGGAAGGGGUUGAGGCUAGAUUCACAUGUAAUCCCUAUGAGAGGAAGUUUUAAGUAUCUUGGGUCAAUUAUAUAGGGGAAUGUGGAGAUCGACGAAGAUGUCACACAUCGUAUUGGGGCGGGAUAGAUAAAAUGGAGACAUACUUUCGGUGCUUUGUGUGAUAAGAAUGUCCCAGCAAAAUCCAACGGUAAGUUCUACAGAGGGUAGUCAGGCCGACUAUGUUGUAUGAAGCUGAAUGUUGGCCAGUCAAGAGCUCUCAUGUCCAGAAGAUGAAAGUAACAGAGAUGAGGAUGUUGAGAUAGAUAUGCGGGCACACAAGGUUAGAUACGAUUAGGAAUGAAGUUAUUCGAGACAAGGUGGAUGUGACCCCAAUUGAGGACAAGAUGUGGAAAGCGAGAGUUAGAUGAUUUGGAUGUGUGAGGAGGCAGAGCACAGACGCUCCGGUCAGGAGAUGUGAGAGGUUGACAUUGGAAGGCCUAAGGAGCGGUAGAGGUAGGCCGAAGAAGAAUUGAGGUGAGGUGAUUAGACAUGACAUGGCGCAGCUUUAGCUGACCGAGGACAUGACCCUUGAUAAGAAGUUGUGGAGGCCGAAGAUUAGGGUAGUAGGGUAGUUAGUUUAGUGUUCUCCCUAUCAUACCAGUAGUAUUAGUACGUACUUUAGUAUUCUGUUGGCAUUAAGUUUUUAUGACUACCUGUCAUUUCUUUCGUUGUGGUCUCCUGAUUAUUUGGUUGUUAUUUAUGUUACUUUUACAUGGCUUCUCACUAUUGUGAUUCUUAUUUUUCUAUUCUUUAAUGUGGUGCUUAUGCUUUUCCGAGUCGAGGGUCUAUUGAAAACAACCUCUCUAUCUCCACAAGGUAGGGGUAAGGCUGCAUACACACUACCUUCCCUAAAUUUCACCAUGUGGAAUUAUACUGGAUUUGUUGUUGUUGUAUUUUUUUCUAACAUUUCUAUCAUGGCGGACUAGUGCAUACCUCAACCAUUUUAUCGGGUACGUGCUCCCCCUCACCAUACAUAUAUUAAGUAACUCUGCCUAUCAAGGUUUUGGCGGAUAAAAAAAAAUAACCUUUAUUUUUUGCCUUUGCUGACAUUUGGACUCUAGUUUUUCAUAUUUUUAUCUUUCGACCGUUAUAUCAUACCCUGGGGCGUCUCUGAUUAACUAACUUGUCAAACAACUCCCAAAAAAAUGGAAAUUACAACUGCAUUGUGUACUUCAAAGGAAAUGAGAAAAAGAAAAUUGAAAUUUCUCCAAUGCAUAAAAAUGUCAUAUGAAGACAACCCGAAUUUUCACUGGUUGAAACAAUUUCCAGUGACCGGUUGACUAUGUGAAUCAUUUCUUUCUCUCUGAUUUUUUUUUGGAUUCUCUCAUAUCUACAACUAAUAUAAAAAGGCAAACUCUUUUUUUUUCUUUUUCUUAAUUACACAACUGAAGAGAAAACCUAA